rnacentral:snRNA from 1 species
GAAUGUGAGUGAACUGCCUGCGCCAUCUGUCACCCGACUGAUGGCCAGGGUCAAUCUGAUCUGGCUGGCUAGGCAGGUGUCCCCUUGGUCCAUCAUUGCUCCACAUGCUUCCUCUCAAAGCUGCACACUGGGUCAAAGAGGAUGAGCUUCCAUCAAGGAUAUAACUGUGUUCCCCUGCUAGAACUUCCAAACAAGGUCUUAGAUUACGCAUUGUCGACAGGAAUAGCACAAAAGUGAUGCUGCAUUUUUCUCACUGCAUCCCCUCAGGGAUCACAG